AUCCUUGCCUGGCAGGAGACAGGUCAUGUGCACAAAACAGGUCAUGUUCAGCUCUCCAGGGCAAGCCUAUUCCAUUGCUUCCCAUGUCUUGACCCCUGUUGUUUCCCCAAAUGUGGGAAACUAGAUGGCACAUUUGAGGUGGUGGGGACUGCAACCUCUUC
rnacentral:snRNA from 1 species